AACGAACGCUGGCGGCAGGCUUAACACAUGCAAGUCGAACGGGUGUAGCAAUACAUCAGUGGCAGACGGGUGAGUAACACGUGGGAACCUUCCUAGGGGUACGGAACAACUCAGGGAAACUUGAGCUAAUACCGUAUACGUCCGUGAGGAGAAAGAUUUAUCGCCCUUAGACGGGCCCGCGUCGGGUUAGCUAGUUGGUGGGGUAACGGCCUACCAAGGCGACGAUCCGUAGCUGAUCUUAGAGGAUGAUCAGCCACACUGGGACUGAGACACGGCCCAGACUCCUACGGGAGGCAGCAGUGGGGAAUCUUGGACAAUGGGCGCAAGCCUGAUCCAGCCAUGCCGCGUGAGUGAAGAAGGUCUUCGGAUUGUAAAGCUCUUUUGCCAGGGACGAUAAUGACGGUACCUGGAGAAUAAGCCCCGGCAAACUUCGUGCCAGCCGCCGCAGUAAUAC
rnacentral:rRNA from 1 species